GUGCUCGCUUUGGCAACACAUAUACUAAAAUUGGAAUGAUACAGAGAAGAUUAGCAUGGCCCCUGCACAAGAAAGCAUUAGCUGAGGGCUUGCUUAUAGUUUC
ensembl:snRNA U6 U6 spliceosomal RNA